UACGAAGGGGGCUAGCGUUGUUCGGAAUUACUGGGCGUAAAGCGCACGUAGGCGGACAUUUAAGUCGGGGGUGAAAUCCCAGGGCUCAACCCUGGAACGGCCUCCGAUACUGGGUAUCUGGAGUCCGAGAGAGGUGAGUGGAAUUCCGAGUGUAGAGGUGAAAUUCGUAGAUAUUCGGAAGAACACCAGUGGCGAAGGCGGCUCACUGGCUCGGAACUGACGCUGAGGUGCGAAAGCGUGGGGAGCAAACAGGAUUAGAAACCCCAGUAGUCC
rnacentral:rRNA from 1 species